rnacentral:lncRNA from 1 species
UGACCACACUUUGUCCAAAUUGCUACCAUCAAAUUUCAUUCCCUUAGCCCACCAUAUUUCCUCCUAACCGGCCCAAUACCAAAAGAAGCCCAUUUGGCAUUGCAACAGCAAACAAUUCCCAGCCCAAACUCAAUUUCAAAGAGACCCCACCAGUAAAUACAUCAGCAACAGCAGUACCAAAUAUGAGAAUGACCCCAACCACGUUUCUUCUUCCUUUUUCACGCGAAGAAUUCCAGAACCGACAACAACGAUAGAAAACCCAGCAUACGCGUGCGACUCCGACGACCCUUGUACGCGCUUCAUCUCCCUCACGCGAAGGAGAGUUCACGGAAUCCAACCGUCAAUAGACGGAACAACACACGGAAAGUAGCCGCAGAGGGCAGUACGCUGCUUCUUUUUGUCUUCUUCCUCCCAUCCCUUUCAAUUAUUAAUAUUGCAUCAGGCACGCGUUUCUCCCCUUUCUUCUUUCGGAAUAGGGCGAAAAUUUCAAAAAAAGGUUUGUUUUUCCUUAAGGGUGAAAGGAUUUUGAUUUUUGAAUUUGGAAUGGAAAAUUUCCAUCCGUUUCCCCC